AUUGAACGCUGGCGGCAGGCCUAACACAUGCAAGUCGAGCGGCAGCGGAAAGUAGCUUGCUACUUUGCCGGCGAGCGGCGGACGGGUGAGUAAUGUCUGGGAAACUGCCUGAUGGAGGGGGAUAACUACUGGAAACGGUGGCUAAUACCGCAUAACGUCGCAAGACCAAAGUGGGGGACCUUCGGGCCUCACGCCAUCGGAUGUGCCCAGAUGGGAUUAGCUAGUAGGUGGGGUAAUGGCUCACCUAGGCGACGAUCCCUAGCUGGUCUGAGAGGAUGACCAGCCACACUGGAACUGAGACACGGUCCAGACUCCUACGGGAGGCAGCAGUGGGGAAUAUUGCACAAUGGGCGCAAGCCUGAUGCAGCCAUGCCGCGUGUGUGAAGAAGGCCUUCGGGUUGUAAAGCACUUUCAGCGAGGAGGAAGGCAUCAUACUUAAUACGUGUGGUGAUUGACGUUACUCGCAGAAGAAGCACCGGCUAACUCCGUGCCAGCAGCCGCGGUAAUACGGAGGGUGCAAGCGUUAAUCGGAAUUACUGGGCGUAAAGCGCACGCAGGCGGUUUGUUAANUCANAUGUGAAAUCCCCGCGCUUAACGUGGGAACUGCAUUUGAAACUGGCAAGCUAGAGUCUUGNAGAGGGGGGUAGAAUUCC
rnacentral:rRNA from 1 species